AAAGAGACAAAUCCUGAGUUUCCGUGUCCAACGUUUGACUGUCCGUCUUAUUUAAAAAAAUUAUGAACAAAAUUAAAAAGAUAAGUCACGUAUAAAGUAUUAAUUAUAUUUUAUCAUCUAACAAUAAUAAAAAUACUAAUUAUAAAAAAAUUUCAUAUAAAACGGACAGUUAAAUGUUAGAUACGGAAACCUAGGUUUUUUUUUUUU
rnacentral:pre_miRNA from 1 species